rnacentral:rRNA from 1 species
AUACGUGAGCUGGGUUCAGACCGGCGUGAGCCAGGUCGGUCCCUAUCUGUCGUGGGUGUAGGAGGAUUGAGGAGACGUGACCCUAGUACGAGAGGAUUGGGUCGCACCGACCUCUGGUGUGCCGGUUGUCGCGCUAGCGGCAGUGCCGGGUAGCUAUGUCGGGACAGGAGAAACGCUGAAAGCAUAUAAGCGUGAAGCCAACUCCGAAACGAGUCCUCCCUAUCAGGCCCCUUGAAGACCACAAGGUAAUAGGCCGGACGUAGAGACGCCGCAAGGCGUGCAGCGGACCGGUACUAAUCGGCCGAUCGGCUUGACCAC